rnacentral:tRNA from 1 species
GGAGGGGUGCCGGAGUGGACUAACGGGACGGCCUGGAGAGCCGUGGCCCCUUUUCGGGGUCUCGUGGGUUCGAAUCCCACCCCCUCCG